AUGCGUAUGCUCUCGUGGCG
rnacentral:misc_RNA from 1 species